CCUACGGGAGGCAGCAGUGAGGAAUAUUGGUCAAUGGACGCAAGCCUGACCCAGCAAUGCCGCGUGCAGGAAGACGGCUUUCUGGGUUUAAACUUCUUUUUACAGGGAAGAGUAGAAGGCGGUACCUGUCGAAUAAGCCACGGCUAACUACUUGCCAUCAGCCGCCGUAAUACGUAGGUGGCAAGCGUUGUCCGGAUUUAUGGGGUUUAAAGGGCGUGUAGCCGGGUUGACAAGUCAGAUGUGAAAUCCUGCGGCUUAACCGCAGAACUGCAUUUGAUACUGUUGAUCUUGAGUACUGGAGCGGCAGACGGAAUGCAUAGUGUAGCGGUGAAAUGCGUAGAGAGUAGAAAGAACACCAGUGGCGAAGGCGGUCUGCUAGACAGCAACUGACGGUGAGGCGCGAAAGCGUGGGGAGCAAACAGGAUUAGAUACCCGUGUAGUC
rnacentral:rRNA from 1 species